rnacentral:piRNA from 1 species
UGCUAUUAUAUUUUGAGGUUAUAGUUC